rnacentral:rRNA from 1 species
AACGAACGCUGGCGGCAUGCCUAACACAUGCGAGUCGAACGAGACCUUCGGGUCUAUUGGCGCACGGGUGCGUAACGCGUGGGAACCUUCCCUUAUGUUCGGAAUAACUCCCCGAAAGGGGUUCUAAUACCGGAUAAUGUCUUCGGACCAAAGAUUUAUCGCCUUUGUUUGGGCCCGCGUUGGAUUAGCUAGUUGGUAGGGUAAAAGCAUACCAAGGCGACGAUCCAUAGCUGGUCUGAGAGGAUGAUCAGCCACACUGGGACUGAGACACGGCCCAGACUCCUACGGGAGGCAGCAGUGGGGAAUAUUGGAAAAUGGGCGAAAGCCUGAUCCAGCAAUGCCGCGUGAGUGAUGAAGGCCUUAGGGUUGUAAAGCUCUUUUACCCGGGAUGAUAAUGACAGUACCGGGAGAAUAAGCUCCGGCUAACUCCGUG